GGCAGGUACCACAGAGAAGCAUCCAAUAAACAAGAGGUUGAUACUAGUCGGGGAGGUCUUUCGGUUUGAUUUGGAUUCAUUGAAAUGGAUGGUGAUCGGGAAGCUUCCUUACCGCGUCAAAACCGCAAUCGCAGGCUUUUGGGACGGCUGGCUGUACUUUACAUCGGGGCAACGGGAUCGAGGACCAGAUAAUCCGCGACCUAAGAUGGUCAUUGGAGACAUGUGGAGGACCAAAUUGAGACUGUGAUGCAAGUUGCAUAAAGUCGACACUUUGAAGCAUUGUCUUAGCUUAGAUUUUUUUUCUUCUUUUUCACACACAUUUUCUCUAGGCCAGGUAAAUAGUCCAAGUAUAUUCUUUCUUCAAUCUUUUUACUUGAGCGAGGCAUAUAAUUAUUUAACUGCAGUUUUUACAUCUUUGUGCAAAAGUGGUAGAUUGUAUUGAAUUGAAUAGAGGAGAGCAUUGACAAA